CACUCCGUUGACCUAGUGAUUAGAGUGUCCGCCUCGGAUGCGGGAGGUCGCGGGUUAGAACGCCGGCUGAGUCA